rnacentral:rRNA from 1 species
GCCCUUAGAGUUUGAUCCUGGCUCAGGAUGAACGCUGGCGGUAUGCUUUACACAUGCAAGUCGUACGAGAGUUUUUAACUCAAGUGGCGGACGGGUGAGUAACACGUAAGAAUUUGCCUUUAGGAGGGGGAUAACAACUGGAAACGGUUGCUAAUACCCCAUAUGCUUUCGAGUAAAAUGGAUUUUCCGCCUAAAGAGAAGCUUGCGGCUGAUUAGCUUGUUGGUGAGGUAAUGGCUCACCAAGGCGACGAUCAGUAUCUGGUUUGAGAGGACGAUCAGACACACUGGAACUGAGACACGGUCCAGACUCCUACGGGAGGCAGCAGUGGGGAAUUUUCCGCAAUGGGCGAAAGCCUGACGGAGCAAUACCGCGUGAGGGGAUGACGGCCUAUGGGUUGUAAACCUCUUUUUUCAGGGAGGAAUCAAUGACGUGUACCUGAAGAAUAAGCAUCGGCUAACUCCGUGCCAGCAGCCGCGGUAAGACGGAGGAUGCAAGUGUUAUCUCGGAAUCACUGGGCGUAAAGCGUCUGUAGGUGGUCAAAUAAGUCAACUGUUAAAUCUUGAGGCUCCACCCUCCAAAUCGCAGUCGAAACUAUUCGACUAGAGUAUAGUAGGGGUAAAGGGGAAUUUCCAGUGGAGCGGUGAAAUGCGUAGAGAUUGGAAAGAACACCGAUGGCGAAGGCACUUUACUGGGCUAUUACUAACACUGAGAGACGAAAGCUAGGGUAGCAAAUGGGAUUAGAUACCCCAGUAGUCCUAGCCGUAAACAAUGGAUACUAGAUGUUGAACAGAUCGACCUGUGCAGUAUCAAAGCUAACGCGUUAAGUAUCCCGCCUGGGAAGUAUGCUCGCAAGAGUGAAACUCAAAUGAAUUGACGGGGAAGGGC